GGUUCUUGUGCUGAAUCUCUAGAAGUUUGCCAGACAAAAUUAGGCAAAUCAUUACAAUGUCAGCACUAUCUAAACCAUGUAAGUAUUCUUAAGCCUUUUAUUUCUGUUCCUCCUGUUAGCCUGUGGGGUUUAUUCAUUAAACAGCAAACUGUACUGACUUGAAUAAUGAAUUGCAAACUUUAGGCACAAAGCGCAGUUUUAAAAACCAAAGCAACACAAUCCCAUAUUCCUCUACAUAUUUCUAUCAUUGGAUGAUUUUAGUACCACUCCAAUGGCCAUUAGGUGUAAGCCCACCUGCCAUAUUAAGGCGAACCUCUUAGGUGGGUCCUACACUAACAAUCACCUUACUUGCUUCAGCUUCAGGUAAACAUUCUCUGAGACAGAGAGGGUUUUUUUCUAAACCCCUACACACUUAUCAACCCUUAAUUGGGGACACAUGGGAUGGGCAGAAGCAUUUACCAUGGCUGUGUGAUAGAAAAACACAAAAAAUAAGUCCUGCGCUCAGACUUCCACUACUCCUGGGCGGCCACAAUGACCAUCGUACAUAUCAAUACGUACAAGAAAGACCCUGGCAUUUAACAUCUAUAAAUAUUGUGUUUUUGUUCAGUACUUUGCUGCUCUCAGACGUGGCUCUGGAAGGGUUUAGUUACGGUGAUAAUAGUGAUGCUGGCCUUGUAUAGUUAGGAUAUUCUACCUGUUAACAAGCUCAAAUGAGGCAAAACCUGUCUUCUGUUAUGUGGUCUUUUUAACCUGGAGCAAGACAUGGGAAAGUAUUGACUGGAUUGUAAAAUGCCAAAUUAAAAAAAACUCAAUGGCCCCAUAGACUAUUAGCAGCGUAAUUCCAACACUGAGCUGGAGUGAGGUAGUGAUGUUCUAAAAUGUCGAUGGGGCUAUUACAGACAUCAAAAAACAUUCUCAAGCUGCAAAGUCAUUCCUUAUAACAAAACAAUGCUUGUUUUAAUAUACUAUCAAUGGCCCACCUCGGUAUCCCAGAUACAUGUGGACUAGCUACCACUGCUAUGUACACCGAAUACAGUGCAUUGUUAUAAAAAGUCCAUAUGGAACAGUAAAUCAUUAAGCAGGUUUAUUUUUGUAUUUCAGAUCGAUACCUUACCAAUUUAUAGUUAUUAAAACUGUUAAAUAAAAUAAGCAGCUUUGAGGUCUCUCUAUCUUCAUUAAUACACUACUUCUUUUCUUAACUAUAGUAAAACUUCAUAGGAUUAACUUUUAAUUCAUCGUAUGUUCCCCUGUUUCUUCCCUCCCACCCCCUACUCUAUCCUAAUUAUCCCUAUAAUAACCCUUUUAAUCUCACUUUCUUGUCUGACUUUUCCCUAAGCUUAUUUGGAGAGAGAGCCCUUUCAUCUCUCUGAUUGAACUACUAUCAUCAUCAAUUAUUUUUAUACGCCCGUUUGACCCAUCCAUUUCCUCUUUAUUUAAAUUGUUGUUGUUUUAUUUUUUUUGUCGGGCAUGGAAAGCGGGUGUAUGGGAAAACCCCUUGCCACCUCAUUACAUAACAUAUUAUUCAUAUCUCUGUCCUCCUCCUUGUUUCAUUCCAUUUACCUGGAUGAGAGACCCUCUAUAAUCAUUUUUAUUUUAAAACUUCUAAUUUAUCUAUCCAAGUAUCCCAAUAUUCUAUUUGCGUGUAGCGGUUUUCUAAGCUCACUAAGACGCCCCUUUCCAUUUUUGCUUGCCAUAUUAAUUUUGCUAUCACUUCUCGGGUGGGUGGGAUUCGUACAUUUUUCCAAUUCCGUGCUAUCAGUAAUUUGGCUGCUGUAAUGAUGUGUCAAAUUAACAUUGAAUCCUUUAUCUUCGUUUUUGACUUAUUUAAUAAAAUUAUUCCCGGAUCCAUUGUUAAUUUAUUUCCUGUCAUAUAGUCAAUUAAUGUAAUGAUAUCUUUCCAAUACGUAUAUAUCAAUUGGCAGUACCACCAUAUGUGUAAUAAGGUGCCUUUAUCAAUAUUGCACAGCCAAUAUCUAUUGCAUGUAUUUGGAUAUAUUUUAUUUAGAAGAUUCGGUGUCAAGUACCAUCUAUUCGAAAGUUUAAACUGUAAAUCUGUCAAAUUUAAGCAGUGGAUAUGUUGAUAUCAUUUACUAAAAUAACUUUUCCAAACUUCAUCUAUUUGUAUAUGAAGAUCUUUUUCCCACUUUUCAAUUGCUCGGGAACGUUUAUCAUUGUCUUAACUCAUAUAAGACUUUAACAGAUUCAGACAGCAUAUUUUUACAGGUUUUUAGUUCGACGAGUUGAAUAAUCCCGUCUAUUUUACACUCUCUAUUCUUAAUCAUAUACGCUGAGACAAGACCUUUAAUUCUAAGAUAGUUAAAGAUAUCCUUCAGUGCGAUACAGAAUUCCUCACUUAUUUGUUGAAAGGGCUUGAUUUUAUAACCCUCUGUUAUAUCUAUAAUUUAUUUAUUCCCUUGCCCUUCCAAGAGUUGAUCUUAGCAUAUCAUUAAUCACGGAGAUUGGUAUUGCAUCUAUUAUUCUAUUCUUUAGUCCAACUUUUUUCAAAAUAUAUCCCACCAACCUGCUAGAUCUCUUAUUAUAUGUGAUUUGGAUCUUGCCUCCGCUAUAACGUUUUUAUUGUGAUCUAAAAUCCAGAAUAGAGAGGGUAAAUUCUCUACCCCUGUGCUGUUUUUCUCUGUUGAAUACCAUUUUUCCUUUUCUGUGGAUGUAUUCUGUGAUAACAUUAUAUAAAACCGUCUACUGGCCCGAUAACAUUGAUGGAUUUCUGGGCAACUCAAACCUCCAUCUUGUCUUAUCCUGGCUACAUUUUUCAUUUUUACUCUUGGUUUUUUCCAUCCCAGACAAAUUUUUAAAAAGAGGCAUGUAACAUUAGUAACUGAUUUUCGGGACAGUUAAGAGGGAUCACUCUCCAUAAAUAGAGCCAUUUUGGUAAGAGCAGGUUUAUUUUAAUCUAUCUAUAAACAUGCAGGAACUGAUUUUCGGCAAGGUGUGACAAUGGGCAGAGCUUUCGUGGCUAUAUCCUGCCAUUUUCCAUGGCUGUUGGGAACAGGAGUUAUUUUAUUUAAACAAUCAAUUCCUAUGGUUUAUCCCUCCAGUGCAAUAUUAAAUAUGGAAGGUCCUCGAGGAUCUUCCUGCCUUGUUUGAAAUCCAAAUGUAUUGAGAAAAGCUGAAUUAAGUAACAUCAUCUACAGUUUAUCAUCACAGUGUAAACAAUGCACUGCAUUAGUAUGGAGAGUCCAUCUCCAUAAGUUGUAAACAACAUUUAUCUCCAUUAAAAAUACACAGCAGUGAUCAGAGUAAAUAAAUGAAAAGUUUACAUGAAGACCCCUGUCAUGGUGCAUGACUGACUCUACUCCUGAUAGGUGUUUCUCAACACACUUUAUUUCAUUAAAGUAGAUAAAAUCUCAGAUACAAAUGCACAUUUUUAACAUUGCAUAAAAGCAGGUGGUAAUUCAUCAUUUCGAACAAGCAGAACUGGCUUUUAAGGAUUGCUUGUCUCUAAAAAGAAUUCGGGUCUGGUGGCUGCAGUGUCACUCUUUAUUGUAAAACCAGUAUAUCCAGAUGUGGCAUUUCAUACUGGAUACAGCGCGAGCACCCAUUCGUGAGAGAUAAUCUGUGCUACACAAAAUUUAUUCGUUUCUGUUAAACAUGUCUUCUAAUUAGUUGUUUUUUGUUUUUGUUUUUUUGAGGGCAGCUGUGCUUUUGUUUGAACUGGUUAUCCUGUUGUCACAAACUUACCUAUGCUUUGCGCUCGUGCCGCUCCCCUCCUCGGUCACGUGGGCAGAACACACCACAUGGCCACAUUACUGCAAUCCUCAGGUUGCAUGGCCCAAACGCUUCACAUGACUGCACGGCCUAAAUAGGUUUGUACCCACCUUCGUUCUCGCGAACGGACCCCUUUUCUGGUUCGCGCGCCGAACUGCAGUACUUAUAAAUACGUUAUUGCCAUGAUGUCAUGCCCUUAAAGGGACUGCACAAUCUAGGCGACCCCAUGCUGUUUGGGGUUGCAGAGAUGACAAUGGGAACUCUUUUGAACCUAUUUAAGGCCUGUUCCAGUCCUUACUCAUUGCCCUAUCAUGGUUUCUGUCCUGAUACGUGUUAGUGCUAAUAUCAAGUCUCUCUUAUGUUCCUGAUAUUGACCUCGGCUUGUUUCUUGACGUGAUUUUUCUGGUGUCCUGACCCGGCUUUGUACAUACUCUGUGUAUUUCUGUAUUCCUCACCUUGGCUUACCCUGACCUUGUUUCUUGCUAUAGUAAUACAUUAAGUCUGACCACUCUAAGGCUCAGUAAUGCGUCUUUCGCAUCCACCUUUUGUGGCUUUCCACUCUUUCUGCGUGUUGGGGUACUACUCCCGUGACACCUGUUUGUAAGCUAAAAUGCAAAUAUCACUCUAUUUCCUUUGACAAUAAGAACCACUAGAGAUACACAAUAAAACAUGGCUAAUGUAGCAGCAUACCCAGGCAAUGUUUCUUAGGCAAGAAGUCAACAUAAAAAGCAAGAAUAAGGGGCAGAGCUAGCCUGCUGAUAGGAUCAGACGUGUUUUGUCUGAGCAACUGCUACAGAAAACUGGGGCUAGCUGCGGGCCACACGCCUAUUCCAACCCAGAUCGGUAGCAACUCUGCCAAGCAGCCGGCGGUGCUCACGGGGAUACCUCACACGACCCUGUGCGGCAUUGAAUAUUGGUAACCGAGACUUAAAGCUUACCUCACCUGAGCUUGAGCUGGGGUGAGACGGCCGAUCUCCAAGUUCUCCGACUGGCGCUUUGCUGUCCCCUACCUCUGGACUGGAGGGGGUUAUCCCGGUCCUCAUUGGCGAACACUACUACCCGCAGUCGCCAUCAAGCACCCGCAGGCGGCGACAGCCCAUCAGGACUCACCGCCUUCCUCUGCAAAGGAAGAACUCUGUCUCGUAUGUGAACACCCAAGUUCGUGGUACACGGAUGCAGGCCUUCAAGACGGCCUGGGGCUGUGUGGAGGACUUGCUUGGACUCUGCCUCAUGAUACCGCCCAAUCCCCUAAACCUGCCAGCAAACUGGGCAUCGGCUGAUGCGAGACUCCACAUCCCAAGCAUUUGGAUAGUAGGUAGUCGGGCCCUCAUGCUGGCUUACUCCACUACCCGCGGCAUGCCAGGCUACACCUAUAUUCCUCCAUAUGUUUUUACCUACGGAGGAAUGUAAAAUGUUAUCUUUAUUUGACUAUUUUUCCUGAAAAUAUGCUGUAUCCCAGCUUAUCUUUUAUUUUGUAUGCUUAAAACAAUGAGAAGCAGCUUACAAUACUAUACCAGCUAACGUCAAUCAACACAAGCCACUAUCUUUAACCAAGUCAGCCUACUGGAUGACAGGGGCAGAAGGAAAAACAUUAAAAUCAGAGGAGUUCAAGAGACUGUACCUUUUAUAAGAACUGCCGCACCUUAUCAGACGUCUGGUGUCCACCCUCAUAUCACCGAGGCAGGGUAAACCCUUUUUCUUUGACUGGGGCUACAGUAUAGCUAAAUCCCCGCAGGCCCCUACCACAGCGCCACGCGACAUCAUUCUGCGGUGUCAUAAGUUAACCGAGAAAAUAGGCCUGCUAGCCGCCCUUAAAGGAAAGACACCAUAUGAGUUUGAAUCCAACCAUGUCUCCUUCAUUCAGGACUUAAGUAGAUCCACACUAUUAUGGCACAAAGGAAUGCAGCCCAUCACCAAACUCCUCCAAACUGCAUGACUAACUUACCGAUGGUUGACUCCCAGAUCGCUGCUGGGAGUCAACCAGAAGGGAAAACAUACAAGGCUUUAGACCCAGCGAAUGGCCCUGCCUUUCUGGCAACAAUGGGUCUCGCAACACAGGGGUUACCCACACUGGGACUAUUGAGCACUCACCCAAGGAACACUGAGGAUAUCUCCACUCUCAUGCCCAGAGAGGGAAGAAGCCCUGCAACCUGAAUCAAAGCAAGCAAAACGCAGUCCAGUGUUUUUUUUUGUUUGUUUGUUUGUUUGUUUGUGUUUUUUUUAAUCAUGCCAAGGUACCCACACUUUUUUUUCAUUUUAGUUUAAAGUUUCUCCUGUUGGAAUAGGUUGAUAUACACCGAGCCCUUAUGGCGGUUGUUCUGCGCUCCGAUGAUAUAACCCACCAACCUCCCCCCCCCCCCUUAGUGUCACAGUAAACAAUGGAGCACUACACUCAACACCAUAAGUCUAGCUUAUACUGGACACGCAGCCACAAGAGGCCAAGCCCUGCAAAUGCAACGCCACCCAUGCUCCGAAUUACACUUCGCCCUCACAUAGGUGACUUCCCGAUAGCUAACCAGACUAACACUCUGAAUCAGCCCUACACCUUUGGGUUACAAUAGGUUUUAUUGCUACAGAGUGGCAUAUGUUUGUACGACAAUUGUGUUAGUGGAAUAUAUGUUGCUUUCUUUUCAUUUUUCUUUUAAUUUCCAUAUGCAUCGAUCCAGCACUGAUAUAUGUGUUUAUAAUGACACAAACGAAAAGUGCUGACAGGUAUGCAUCACAGCAACCCAGGUUCCCAUCGUUGCCAACGCCACUUCACGUAGCAGGCGGCUUACUAGCGCAAAACCCUGUGUUGUUUCUACACCACCACUAGUGUAUUGAACCAAAGCAUCAUUAUAUGUAGCCCUAGAAUUUACCAUUCUCAAAGUUGGCCAACUCGUUAAAACUGCCCAGCCCACUAUAUCUAAAAAUAUGUUCAAUGCUUGUUUCAGCCAAGUCUCUAUAUUAACCUGUUCAUUGUUAUGUCUCAUGCAUGUGCUGUUGUGGCAAUCAAACUGUGUACAACUGAUAUUACACUAAAAAUAAAAAAAUAAAAUUUAAAAAAUAACCGCUCUCCAUCCACACCUUGCCAUGCUGCUCUAUAAAUAAACUAAAUAGAUUUUUUUUUCCUUUAGAAAUUAAAUGGUUAAUGGACCACUAUAGGAACCCAGACCACUUCAGCUUCUCCUCUAGGUUUAACCCUGCUCCUGAAAACAAAUUAGUUUCAGAGAAACUGCUAUGUUUACACUGCAGGAUUAAUCCAGCCUCUAGUGGCUGUCUCCCUGACAGCCACUAGAGGCCGCUUCCACGAUUUACACAGAGUAAAUAGCACUUAUUUGAUGCUGGACGUACUCGCAGACCUCCAGCAUCAAAAAAGAUCCCAAUAGGAAAGCAUUGAGUAAUGCUUUCCUAUAGGCGGGUUUGAAUGAUCUGGCCGCGCAUACGGCUCCACUUGGCAGCUGACGUCGAUGGAGGAGGAGAGGUCACCAGUGCCAAGGGAGCCCGGCGCUGGAUUAAGGUAAGCAAAUAAAUGGUAAACCAUUUAUUCGCUGCGGAACAGGGCCCUAGUCACCGUUUAGCUGACUAGGGCUCUAUAGCGUUAGGAAUACAUAUUUGCAUUCCUUACGAUGUAGUGUUCCUUUAAUGCUGGAAUCAAUCUCACAUGUUACUCCUGCUUGGGGUUUUACUCCAAUAACAGCUUCAAGUUGGGCUAGUUGCCUGUCCCUGUAGCUGACUGUCCAGUAUGCAUACAGUCUAUUAAUAAAGCUAUUUGGCAAAGGCUGAUUAGCCAGAUCUCUACCCUUUUGGUUUUAUACUGAAGACCACAUCAAUCCUGACUGCAAUAACUAUAGUUUAACAAGAUUUUUCAGAGGGAGGUCUCCGGCCAUGUACAGCAGCCAUUGUAAAUCUUACUGACUCUUACCUGCCAUAACCGAUUUCUGCUUUCCUCAAAUCUUAUAAGCGUUGGGGAAAAAAAAAGAUUUAUGGCAUUAGAAAAAAAGGCAUAUAAAGAUUUAUAGUAGGUAAAACAAGAGCAAGUGUAAAUGUGUUCAGGCUGUAGAUUGAGCAGCUAUGCCCAGUAUAUAGUGGAAAUCAAUCAUUCCUGCACAUAUAUUGCACUGAGAUAGUAAGGCUCAGAGCUCAAACGCCCUGGGGUUCAUUUACACAGAGCGAUUCAAGGUGCUUCAAUCACUCAUGGAAGCCAUCAGAAUUUUCCUGGUACAGGUUCAAUGAUUAGAACUUAACCCAACAAUUGAUCCUUAUCUACAGAUCGGUGAUACAUAAGAUGUGUGCAGAUGUUUGGAUUGUGUAUUUUCACUGAUGCUAAUUGUGCUUAAAAGCUGCGCUGCAAAAGUGAGGCAUGACUGCCCAAUGUGAUUAACAAACGUAUAAUUAGAACCAUGGACUUGUUGGACUCUCUAUACCAGAGACAAGAGCAUUAUCAUUCCACUUGGGCCCCACAGCUGGAUUUCCUGGAUAAGGGAAAUCUGGGGAUAUGGGAUACAGGUUCUGGGGCAGCCCCCUUCAUUUCCCUAGAUCCCUUUUUAUUCUUAGCUCUUUGGCUUUCCCCCCUGCUGCCUCCAAUGCAGGGAGACUGGCCUUGACCGUAUCACGCUCUCUUUUAUUCAUAGUUUCCUACUGAAACACAUCAACCUCUAGAUGUAGUCCAAGGCAUCCCUUGCUCUACCCGAGUCACUCUAUCUCACAUCUUGAAACUAUACGAAUGAUGUGUACCACUUGUUUGUUGUUUCCAUGAGCUCUUUUUGAAAGUCUCUGUUUAAUUUCUGGGAUUCCUACCUCUUGGUUACCAUAUGUCUGUUUUCUAUGCCUCCCCUGCAUGGGAUAUUUUUUUGUUUUAGAACUGUUCAAAAAAGCUUAAAUAAAGAUUGUGUGGCAAAGAACAGAGUAGCAGCGCCUUAUGGAUGCCCUCAGAUCUGGGUCCGGGUGGAACAAUAUGGAAAAUAAGAGGUCCGGAAACGGUGUAUGGUGUAGUAUUUUGAUAUUUUCGUUGAAGUAAAUGAAAUGCACUUCAAAAACGCUUUUGGGCAAAGCCAAGGUGGGGAGAAAUCCUUACAACAUGGGUGGUAUAUUCCCCACCAAGGAAUUUGAUGUGAGAAUCGUCUAGAUAAAAUAUUCUGUAUUAAAUAAGGAAGGACCAGUGUAGCAUAAAAACCCCACUAGUUUUUAUUAGAAAGAAAAUAUAAAACCGUACAAAGGGUAUUAAUAAAUAUAGGCUUUUUCAGUGUCACUUGGAAAAAAACGACCAUAUGGUGAAACGUGUUAGUGUUACCCUUUGUGUUAUUCCUAAAAAAAAAAAAAAAAAAGUUUUAUACCCUACACUGAACCUUCCUGAUUUUAUCCUGAUUUUUUUUUUUUUUUUUUAAGUUGUUCAUAUAUUAAGGUUAACAGGCUAAUAUGGCAUGUGUAAUUCAAGAACAACAUUUAUCCAGAAGAUUUUCACAUCAAAUUCCUUGGUGAGGAAUAUACCACCCAUACUGUAGGAUUGAGCAAAUACUUUUUCUUUUCUUUUUUUUUUUUUCUCUCUCUAAAAGCAGAGAACUUCCAUUAAGAGGAUUAGCAAGCAUCUGAUUGAUACAGACUCUCUUAAUGAGCAGACUGCCUUCCGUGAGAACUUUACUCAGUGAAUCCCUCUCUGGUCCAUAGCUGGAGGGUGGUGCAUCUUUUUAAAGUAAUAAGUACAUUAAUUCAUUGAUCCUUCUAGAUCUCAUUAUCACUGCCCUAAGUCCCCCAAGAAAACCGCCUUCAAUAAUGGUGAAUUUGGGCAAGACAUAUGAAGAACAGCAGUGAUUUCUAGAGGGCAGCUCCAAGACCUUAUUAUAUCCACCAUUCACUUUUUAAUUCCUAAAGUGAAAUACGCACUAAAAUGGUGUAACACCAGGGUUAUUCAGUAAACCAGAACUGUUGGGAGCCAAAAUGAGAGAAACAUUCCAACUUGGCUAUGUUUCCAGCACCUUGUCAUAUACUCUGUUCAUUUCUUGGCAAUUCCCAAUUUAACACAUUUCUCUGUCGGAUUUAUUAGCUAAAUUGUGGACUGAAAACGGCAUUCCUACGAUGGCCAGCUGUGACUGUAGCUGAGAUGAAGAAUAUUUCCAAAUUGGUUAUUAUAGGCUAGAUUCUGCAGUUCUGUUCUCUUUUUUUCAGUUUACAACUCCUAGCUGAGCGAACAGGGCCUUGUGUGUUUGUUACAGUAAUGACAUUAUGGCACAUCACUGCUCCUGAUUGACACCUGGCAUUCUCAAACACCUAUCCAUGCCGUGAAGCAGUUAUAACAAAACCGUGUGUAACAAAAAUGUGACAUGCAAAAUGUAAAAUUUGGGUAAAACCAUGCAACUUGGUCCAGCUAUUUUACUCAUUGCUACUUGGAAUUAAUACAGCGGGGGGUUUGUGAUCGCUGUACAUAGACCUAUAUUUAUAUGACUAUAGGGGAUAUAACAAUAAUCACAGAAACUUAUUUUCCUUUUGGCCAAACCUAGUGGAGAUCUACAUUACUUUUUAAAAAACAUUUUAUUGAAAAACAUUUUCUACAAAUCAAUCCAAUUUACUUUAGUCGUGGCUUCAUACCUAGUCUAAAGUAAAAUGCUCAGACUUCAAUACCCAAGUUUUGGACAGGGGGGCAGACAGGUGAUCUGUACUUUCCUUCAGAGGGUGCUGUUGCAUUGUGCAUAAGAGAUCCUGAAUCACAGUUUGUUUCUAGAUGUGCAAUGAUAAAUGUAGCUUAUCCGAGCCAAAGGGGAAUGAAUGCAGGCUGCAGGUUCCACCUGUCAGACUGGUAUCUUUUCAGAUACACAAUGACAUGCAAUCACUCUCCCUGAAACCUAAAGCUACAAAUUAGUUUAAAUAGAUUUUGAGAAUGAUCAUUGCCUGCACCUUAUGUGAAUUCACCUGCCUAGUUAAAGUACCAGCAGAGGUUAAAACUAAGGCAUUGCUAGAAGAUGACUUAAUAAAUCCAUCUUUGCCAAGUCUUCAAUCUAAAAUCUUUUAAGAGGUAUAUGGCAAUAUACCUCAGCACAGAAUGCACCUGUCAUGGUCGAAUAUAUUUAUCACCUGUUAUAUAUUAAGUGUGUUUGUGUGUGUGUGUAUAUAUACAUUGUAUUUUAUUGUACCCUAUUGUAUCAAUGCAAUGUUUUGUGGACCCAGGACAUACCUGAAAACGAGAGAAAUCUUAAUGUAUCUUUCCUGGUAAAAUAUUAUGUAAAUGUAUAAAUUGCACAGCUCUAUAAACGGAGAAUUGUAAAUGAGUCAUUCUUACUUCAGGAUCCUUCCGUCCUUCUUAUCUUACAUUUACUGCUGUACGCAUGCCUCAAGUUAAUUUAAAUGUAAUUGUAUUAUUAAAUUAUCUACAUAGAGUAAAACAAGGCAAAUACAGAACCUUAAACUCCUCGGCUGUAUCUUGAUUGAGACCAAUUUGAGGGGGUAGCUUGCACAAAUAAAUUGAAAAACAAACCACAAUCAAUAUUUAUCACCCCUCAACUACUACACCAAAAUAAGCCUUAUCAAUUCUAUGUUUAUUGAAUUAACCACUUUCUCAUCAUCGAUUGGAGAGAGGGGGAGGGACACAUUCAUAAAAAAAAUAUGUAUAUUCCGCUUCAUGUACUCCAUAUUGCUGGUUUGUUUUACGGUUUUGAAAGGGGUUAAACAAGAAGGUGAUUUCAAUGAUGAGAAUUGGCCUACUGCAGUUAAUGAUAAAUAGAUCGAAUUCCCUUUGUGGUUUGAUGUAUAUCCUGCUGAACCUAGACAUCAAAGAGCUGUCAAAGAAAGCUGCCCAUGCACUGUUAAUUUAUAACUGCGGUAGAAAGCAAUCUAUAAUCACACAUCACACUUUCUAUUUUAUGAUAACCUAGACAUCACCCCCACCCUAGCCAAAUCCACAGAGAGACCAUCAACUGGGCUGUCACUGGAAGAGGAGACACUUCCACUCGGAUCACCAAGAAGAGUCAAUGAUAUUUAAAGAAACAUUUCAAGAUUGUGUGAAAAUAUUUAUAUCUGAACACCGGUUCGGGUACCAUAUUUUUAUAUCAGUCAAAUAAACCAGCCAUGUGACCUUCUGCAGAACCUCUCUUUGUAAGAGCCUAGAGCUACUCUGAUUGGCUACGGACAUCACACGCACAAUGACAUCUCGUUUUUCUUGUUUUUGUUUAAUAAGUAGCUGAGGGUUUGCCGGCACAGUGAAAAACUGACAAUUCGUCACUUGCAAAUUCCACCUAAACUUACUGUAGCUUGCUUAGUUGAAAGUCAUAGAAAUGUAUUUGCUUAGUUUUAAAAUAAUUAAUGUAAAGGACAGUGCCACUUUAACCACAGUAAGUGUUUAUAAAUUAAUAUGAAUAAAAUACAUUAUCAUAUUACAUUUCUAACAGAUAUCAAGAAACAAAAGCUACGUAAACUGUCCCAAUAUAACACACCGUUUAAAAAGAAUGUUCUUUUACCCCAGUAAAAUGCUGGGAGUAAAUGAUUAAUUAGUUAUCGUUGUAAACGCUCUAGAACGAAGACCAUUUUCAUUGUUUUACAAUUAUGAUUUACCAGUUCUUCUCUGUAUACCUUUACAUGGUGUCAAUUUCCCGCAGGCCAUGAAUUGGUGUAAUCCUGCUGAACUGAUCUUUGAUCCAGUGGCUAUACUUUUACAAGAGUUACUAAAUGGGUCUAUUAAUUAAAACAUUAGCAAUUUCUGCUCCUUCAAGUGACGUUAUCCUGAACAAAGCGAUACACUUAUAUUACAUAGUUACAUAGCUGAAAAGAGACUUGCGUCCAUCGAGUUCAGCCUUGUUCACAUAUGUUUUUGCUGUUGAUCCAAAAGAAGGCAUAAAAACCUAGUCUGAAGCACUGCCAAUUUUGCAAAAAACUAGGAAAAAAUUCCUUCUUGACCCCAAAAUAGCAGUCAGAUGUCUUCUUGGAUCAAGCAGCUAUUACCCCACUAAUUAGAAAUUAUAGCCCUGUAUGUUAUGUUUUUGCAAGUAUUUAUCCAAUUGCAGUUUAAACAUCUGUAUGGACUCUCAUAAAACCACCUUUUCAGGCAGAGAAUUCCUUUAUCCUUAUUGCCGUGUAAAAAAACCUUUUCUUUGCCUUAGAUGAAAUCUCCUUUCUUCCAGCCUAAAUGUGUGACCUGGUGUCCUAUGUAUAGCCCUGUUUAUGAAUAGAUUUCCAGAUAAUGGUUUGUACUGGCCCCGAAUAUAUAUUUAUAAUGUUAUCAUAUCCCCUCUGAGGCGCCAUUUUUCCAAACUAAACAGAUUUAAAUUUUUUAAAUUUUCUUCAUAACUAAAAUGCUCCAUUCUUUUUUAUCAAUUUUGUAGCUCGUCUCUGCACUUUUUUUGGUGCCAUGAUAUCCUUCUUUAGAACAGGUGCCCAAAAUUGCACCGCAUAUUUAAGGUGUGGUCUUACCAGCGAUUUAUAAAGAGGCAAAAUUAUAUUUUCAUCCAGAGAAUUUCUGCCCCUAUUUAUACAUGACAAAACCUUACUGGCCUUAGCAACUACAGAUUGACAUUGCAUAUUGCUGCCUAAUUUAUUGUCUAUAACAAUUCCCAAAUCCUUCUCAUGUGUGGUUAUCCCUAGUUUACUACCAUUUAGUGUGUAAGUUGCUUGUGCAUUCUUAACCCCGAAGUGCAUAACUUUGCAUUUCUCUAUGUUAAAUUUCAUCUGCCAUUUUAGUGCCCAGUCCCCCAAUCUAUCCAAAUCCCUCUGCAGCAAAUCAAUAUCCUGCUCACAUUUUAUUACUUUACAAAGUUGUGUGUCAUCUGCAGUCAAGAUCAUUUAUAAAUAUGUUAAAUAGUAGCGGUCCCAAAGCAGAACCCUAAGGGACACCACUUACCACUUUUGUCCAGCCUGAAAAUUUACCAUUAAUGACAACUCGUUGUACUCUAUCCUUAAGUUAAAUGUUCUACCCAAGAGCAAGAAUAUUCAUCUAGACCGAUUUCUUUUAGUUUGAAGACUAACCUAUUGUGAGGAACUGUAUCAAAUGCCUUGGCAAAAUCCAAGUAGAUCACAUCUACUGCAACACCCUGAUCUAUACUUCUACUUACUUCUUCGUAGAAUGCAAUUAGGUUAGUUUGACAUGACCUAUGUUUCAUAAAACCACGCUGAUUAUUGCCAAUAACAAAGUUCUUUCCAAUGAAUUCCUGAAUAUUAUCCCUUAAUAGCCCUUCAAAUAUUUUCCCAGUCACAGAAGUUAAGCUCACAGGUCUAUAAUUUUCCAGGCAAGGAUUUUGAACCCUUUUUAAAUAUUUUAAAGGAAGUACCAUAUAUACUCGAGUAUAAGUCGACCCGAAUAUCGAAAGUCGAGACCCCUAAUUUUACCCGCAAAAACUGGGGAAACUUAUUGACUCGAGUAUAAGACUAGGGUGGGAAAUGCAGCAGCUACUGGUAAAUUUCUAAAUAUAAUUAGAUCCCCCAAAAAUAUUAAUUGAAUAUUUAUUUACAGUGUGUGUAUAUAAUGAAAGCAGUGUGUGUGUGUGUGUGAAUGCAGUGUGUGUAUGUGAUGCAGAGCCUUGGUGGGGGGUGGGUAUUUUUUUUUUUUUUUAUAUUAUUAUUAUUUUAUUUAAAUUUUUGUUUUUUUUUCUUCGUCCCCCCUCCCUGCUUGUUAGCUGGCCAGGGAGGGGGGGCUCUCAUUCCCUGGUGGUCCAGUGGUGUGCACUGUGGCAGAGAGCUGUAACUUACCUUUCCUGCAGCUCCUGUACGCUCCCUUCUCUCUCCUCCGGUCUGGUCAGCUCCCCUGUAAGUCUUGCGGUGUGACUGCAACGCUCUGACCCCGCGGCUCUCGCGAGAUUUGCAGGGGAGCUGACCGGACGAGAGGAGAGAGAAGGGAGCUUACAGGAGCUGCAGGAAAGGUAAGUUACAGCUCUCUGCCAGCCCCCAACAGGACCGCCGGGCUUGUAAUGAGCCCGGCGGUCCUGGUCUGUAUUAUGGCAAUGUAAGUUGCCAUAAUACAGACACUCACUUGAGUAUAAGACGAAAAACACGUCUUAUACUAGAGUAUAUACGGUAAGUUGUUAAACAAUUUGACUACUUACUCUGGAAGGGCAUCAGGGCACUCCUGGCACCAUAACCACAAUGGGUUGUAGUGGGUUAUGGUGCUUUGAGUGUUCCUUUAACAAAUACAUACAUAUAGGUUAGGUUACGUCCAUUAUGAGAUUAUAUGAUUAAAGGGACACAUGUUGGGUGCACUGUGUUGGUCACAUUACAGCUACACUUGGUAGGCUAACUGUAAAGGUCUGUACAAUAUUUACAAAGUUUGAUAAAACAAGUGUUCUCUCUCUCGCUCGCUCUCUCGCUGUACUUAUUACUAAUUCUGGUUUCUUCCUGCUGCAGACUCUAAAGCCCAUUCAAACUGCAUUCGUUCUCAACGAAAAUGAAAAAAGCGAUUCCAACUCCGCUGUACCUUAAGAAGACACUGAGGAAAAUAAAGAUUUCCUGGUCUGAAAAAUUCCCGUUUGCUGGAUUUUAGCUAAAGUAUGUUGUUUGUUCAAAACCCUUAUACUGGUAGAUGUGAACACAGUUGUUUGACAUCAACAAAUCUCCAAAAAUAUGUGAAUCCUUUGCAAGACUUGCAGUUUGAAGAAUCCAGUUAUUUCCCCUAUACAUUAUGCAUUUCCGUAAAUUGAAAUGUAAAGGUAUUUAUUAAAAUGCUUUCAUAUUGUUUUCAGUAUCAGCUGGUCUUGCGAUUUAAUCUAGAUGAUGAUAAAUAAUGCACAGAUUUCAUUCCAUGUUGCCGUAUGCUGAAUAUUUUGUAUCUGUCAUGUUUUAAACUGAUCUUUCAUGUCUUGGUAGCUUUUUUUGCGUAAUAAAUUAUUCAGCCUAUAUGUUGUUGGUUUCCCCCCCCCUAUGUAGCAUAUUAUUGAGUACAAGAAAAGCUGUGUUAUGUUCUUGUCAUAUUGUUCUUGUAUAUCCCACUAUAUAAACAUUAAGGGGGCUGCCUGUUGUGCCACUUUCUACUUGGCAGAAAUAAGUUCCUCUUGAAAUGUCAUCUUUACGUUGUGCUAGCCAUAUCACAAUCGAAUCGAUGGGUUUCUCUAUAAAAUAGCAUUAGAAUUGUGCUCACUCUCCCUUCUGGCAGACAGACUAUUGGCAUACACUAUAUGCCAAUCUCUAUUUCACGCUUAUUGGCUGUUCUAAAGCACAGAAAGCCAUAAACAGUUUCCCAAAUGGACGCAGUCCUGAGAAGAAUGAUCCUGCCCACGACGGCAGACUGAAGUGCUAGUGGCUGCAGGUGAGUAUGCUGAAAACUCUAUAAAGCUGCAUUGAAGGUCAGUAAAUAAACACAGUUUACUAAAAUUACAUCACAAAAGGAAAAGGAUGCCACAAAGUUUAGAUUCCAGGUUCACUUUAACGGGACAUUCUUAGCAUGCGCAGCAUACAAAAAAGAUUUAGAGUACAUGACUGCAGAACCUUGGCCAAUAAGAAAUCGAUAACCCAUUUCCGUCUGUGAGUUCCAACAGGGAUUGCCUCCUCCAGUGUGCUGCAAUACACAGACAAACCUGAAAGUGGACCAAGGAGCAGAAAUAGAAUGUGCAAGGCACACUACUAGUGCCACCGUUGGAAGUAACACAACACAACCUAAACGUUUCACACAGAAUGUCCCUGGUCACUGUACAAGGGGGCAUGUACAGGACUUCUGGGUUCAGUCUUUUGCAUGGAGAUGCUGAAUGCUCACUAUAGAGAUGCAAUGACUAACUGCAUCUCUAGGAGUAGAUGCUGAAAGGCGCAGCACUGCAAUUUAACGCCCAUGCGCACCAGCCUCCCAAUGGUUCUCUAUGGGAAUUCAGGAUUCAUGAUCCAGCACAGAGACCAUCGCAUCAUGGGAAAUAAGGUAAGUAGAUUGUGGCUUUAAAAAAAAUUAUAAAUUCAUGGCGGGAGGGCAGAUGGCUAAAUAGUUACCGGAGUACAUGUUUAUAUUCCAAACAUCAUCGUGUUUCUUUAAGUUAUUCUAGAUAUAGAAGGGACUCUUUGGCAUCCUCUUAGAUUUAACAAAAUUUAUAAGGUACGCUAUUGUUACUAUAACAAUUUUAGCUUAUUGAAGCAGUCUUGGUAUCUAGAUCAUGCCCCCUGCAGUCUCAUUGCUCAAUUCUCAUCCAUUUAGGAGUUAAAUCACUUUGUUUAUACAGCCAUUUGACACUCAUUUUCAAGCCAUGUUUUAGAAUCUCAAGGGGAGGUAUCACCCAAUAAAACACAAAUCUCCACCCACUUGGGGUUGUUAUCAAUCAACAAGUUGAUCAUUUUCAGGGCUUGUGUCCCUUACUUUUUACUCCAAAAAGAAGAGAAAGGAAGAGACCUCUAGUCUAAGUAUAUCCGUGUUUCCCUCAGGGCACGUCUUCAUAAUUCUGCCAAAUUUCUGGAAGAUAUGGGAAUCGUAGAGCACCCUAUAAUCCUCCUGUUCUACCUUCUUCCCCUCUCUAUUUCUCCUUUAAUUCUUCUCUCCUUUCCAUCUAUAAUCCUACUUUCAACAAAAAAGAAUGUAAGUGGAACAAUGACUACUAAAACAACUGUUAUAUCAUACUAAUUAAAUAUAUGGGGAAGUGUAAAACUGACUUUUAGUCAUAUCGAAGUCAUAUUAAAAUCACCUGCCUUUAGUCAUGCAGGAUAAUUCCUAAUUUCUUGACAUUAAUUAAAACAGUAGGAAUUAUCCUGCUUGACUAUAGCAGGUGACUUUAAAAUGGCUUCAAUAUGACAAAGUCAAUAUUACACUUCCCCACAUAUUUAUUUAAUAUGAAAUAAUAAGGAAAAUUUAAACCAUACUUUUUAUCUAUUUAUCAUGGCAGCGUCACUUUUAGGUAGGUCCGCCCUCAGAACCAGAAGUUAGUGAGCUUGUCUCUAGUGAGCUUGUGUGUGUCAGUGAGCUUGUCUAUAGUGAGCUUGUGUGUGUCAGUGAGCUUGUCUUUAGUGAGCGUGAUUGUAUCAGUGAGCUUGUUCACUCCCUGCAGCGGCCGGCUUUAAUGUUUUAUGCGCAGCUUAGCAAAGGGCUGACAAAUCCAAGGUGCCAGGGCGAAAUAUCUAGUCGCCAUGGCAACCUGACGCCUUAGAUUUGUCGAGCCCUGUGUGUUUGUGACAAAAUGCCCUUCGCCACUUGUGCCUGGAGAGGACUAAUUACCAGCCUCCUGCCCUGCGACUAUGGCCCCUGGAAGAUUUUGCCCUUUAAAUACGUUAUUUGGGCAUAGUGGAUUUUAUUAGACUGGUUCUGGCCCUUUAAAUGCUCUGACAAAGGUUUUGCUAUGCACUUCGGAUGCAGAGUGUGAAGAAAACCCCUGUUUUAUGGACUUAGUUAGAAUGUUUUAUCCCCCACCCCCCCUCCACUCUUAGAACACCAGUUAAACCCUUAAUGCCUGUCAUAUUUUCAAACUCUGUCUGUCUUUAAUUGUCAUUUUGUUUUCCUCUGAGGAGGAGUUGUUUUGCUGCAUGAGUGCUGUUGCUUUUGUGUGCUCAUUAAACAGACCUGCUUGAACCUUUCUUGAAGCCUUGGCUCAUGCUUGGGGGAUGGGAUAAGUCUGCAGUGCUGAUGGUGUCGGUUGGAGUGCUUGGAGUCCUCGGCAAGCACUAGGAGCAUCGAUUGGCGGAGGUACUCGGUCGGAGUGCCAGUUCGUCCAUCACAUAUAUACACAUACACACACACACACACACACACACACACACACACACACAUACAUAUAUAUACUGUUCAAGUAUAUAUGUUUUUUACAUAUAAUAAUAUUAACAACUAGUAUUUAUAUAGCGCCUUUCUCCCAGUGGGACUCAAAGCAUUUCUCAGCGCACACUCUCACACUCUUAAUCAAAUCGGCAGCUUAAUAGUAAUAUAUAUGUAUAUAUACACAUACACACACAUAUAUAUAUAUAUACACGUUUUAUAACUGCCCCCCUACUUUUGUCCCUGGCCCCUCCUGUGCCUCCCCUAAAUAUGAAUCCUGGAGAUGCCACUGGGACUAGUUCCUUUAAUCUAUCAUAAGUGACUAUCGCUUCGUCUGUAAAGGUGUAUGUAUCGUUCGAGGCCUUUGUGUUCAACCCCCCUAAAAUCCUUUGUGUUGAGAUCCGGUGGGAAUGCCCUGUUUCUGAGAACUGGGGUCAUCGGGGAUCUAGAAACCUUUUUAAGGUAACCUUCUCCGUUUUUUUCCAUUCUACAAGUAUUUUGUCCUUGAUAUAAUCAUGGACAGGAAAGUUAGACCUAGUAGAUUUCAAGUCCUAAAAAUACCUGUCAUUCUAGAAAUUCCGAUUUUUCUUCCUGAAUCUUGUCUCUGGUAAGGAGAAUUAGCUUGUUCACCAUUUUGGACCCUGUAUUUCUAUGAUAAGUUUCUGAUUCUUCCUCCUCUUCUUCAGAGAAUUCAGCUGCCUAUUCUGCUUCUGAAUUUGAAGAAAUGGUCUUUGCUUUCGAGCGCUUGGUCUGCUCAUGAUUUUUCCUGUGGCUUUAAAGCCUUCCACAAUUGCUUCAGGAAUCCAGGCCUUAAGUUCAUCUUGAGGUAAUGUUUUUGUAUUUUCUUCUGUAACUUCAGUUAGGCAUUUGAUACUUGAUUACAGCCCCCACACCGAUUACUCAUCUACUUAUGUUUUUGAGAGAUCUGUCCUAGCUUCUGCUUAGGCUGUAAUGAGAAUAUAAGGCCAUGCAUUAUAUGUUUAGGUCCAAAUGCACUAUCUUAAUUCCCAGAAUACAUAUAAGCAUAUUGGCUCACCUUGGAUUUCUGAAUAUUGAGGGUGUGACAAACUCCCCUUUUCAAGUGAGUUUGCCAUGAGUUCCUGGAGGAGCCUGCUUGCCAGCCUCCUGCCCACAGACUAUGGACCCUGUAAAAUGCUCCGUUCAUGUAUUUGGAGUAUAUGGUUGGGAACCGAACAGCAGCAUGAACCGGAGACCACCCUGGAGCUUGUUAAGCCUAAGUGCUAAUUUGUAACAAUUUCCACCUCAGUGUUCGUCUGGGUGGCUGCAAUUCCUACGGACCACCACGAGGUGGCAGCCAUCUUGUUCACAUGAAUGCGUUUGGCCGUCGAGUUCAUGGAACUAUUUUCGGGUACUGAAACUCCCGAACACUGCUGGACUUGCAUGAUCACCUGCGUUCGGUUCGACAACACUUAGAAAGACACUGUUCGGUAGAAAUGUUCCCACGAACAAGGGGAACAAGCUCCAGGGUAAGACUAUUGACUAUGUUCGGUAGUUUGUUCAUUUUUAACCUACGAACUAGACCGACCGCAAGCCCUGAUUCUCUGGAACUGUUUUGGGCAUGGGACCAUGCGUGCGGUCGGUCAAACAAAUGACUUCCAUGAAAUUCCUGAACCCCUGAAUUGAUCUGGGUGAUUUUUGGAUAUGUUGGUCACCCAGAUCAGGGCUAUUUUUAUGUAUUUUUAGGGUACUUUUGGGGUGUUUGGGAAAAAGUAUGUUUUUUUCUGUGCUUGGAGAUAUUUGGAUUAGAUUAGUACAGUUCCUGAUCCAAUUAUCUCCCAGGCACACACAAGGGAUUAUCUGAUUUUGUAUGGGAGUGUCCUGGACCUGAGAGCCAAUGUAAUUGUGUAUUUGUUUCUACUGUAGUCUACUCUCAGGUCUAGAAACAUAGAAACAUAGAAUGUGACGGCAGAUAAGAACCAUUCGGCCCAUCUAGUCUGCCCAAUUUUCUAAAUACUAGAUGGGCCGAAUGGUUCUUAUCUGCCGUCACAUUCUAAGCUUCUAUGUUUCUAGACCUGAGAGUAGGCUACAGUAGAAACAAAUACACAAUUACAUUGGCUCUCAGGUCCAGGACACUCCCAUACAAAAUCAGAUAAUCCCUUGUGUGUGCCUGGGAGAUAAAUGGAUCAGGAACUGUACUAAUCUAAUCCAAAUAUCUCCAAGCACAGAAAAAAACAUACUUUUUCCCAAACAUCCCAAAAGUACCCUAAAAAUACAUAAAACCCCACAUAAGUUUCAUCCCCUGAUAGCCCUGAUCUAUUUCAUUAGUCCCUAGCCUUAUCUUAUAGUUAGGAUAGCCUUAUGCCUAUUCCACGCAUGCUUAAAUUCCUUUACUGUGUUAACCUCUACCACUUCAGCUGGAAGGCUAUUCCAUGCAUCCACUACCCUCUCAGUAAAGUAAUACUUCCUGAUAGAAACAUAGAAUGUGACGGCAGAUAAGAUACUCUAGGGGGGAGUGCCCCUUGCAUGACUGCCAUUAAAGGGAUUCCAGCUUGUACUCUCAGAACUAUGUGUCGUCUGGUUACUGGGAAGGGAAAGGGCUAUUCUUUAAAUACUGUUCCAGUGUGGAGGAUUCAACGGGGAAAGUCCUUGUAAGGACUAGAGCUCCUAGGACUGAGUGUCGUCCAGUGCCUGGGGAUGUUAGAGCGAGUUCCCCAUUCAGCUCCAGGAGGGAGCGGUUCCAGGGCCCCAGUCACGUCACAGCGACUGAGGGCAAGAGUGCUGAAGUUUGUCCCCUGUUCCAGCUAGGAAGCGAUCCUUGGCGGAAGUACCAAGUGCACAAAUAUGAUCAAAUACCAUCGACAAAUUAUACGUAAUUCCAAGCUGACCAUGACCAAUAGGAGUUAAGACCUGCCUAUAUAUACUUACUACUCCAAUUCCUUGUUGCCCUGUUGUGGUUCUUGAUUUCCCAAUAGCGCGUUACUGCAGUAAUCGUGUUUGGUAAUUAUUCUUUCUUUUCAUAAUUCUUUUCUUCUGUAAUCCUUUGACCUCAGCUAUCCUUAUUGACAUUGUUUGUCAGUUAGCCCGGCCAUUCUAAGGACCAGUAUAGGGAAAGUCUAUUUGUCGUGAUUUGGUCGGUGUGUUUAGAUUCCACCCAAUCGUGACACUUACUUUGUAGGCUUGUUUCUGUCGGCUACAAAUGAAUAAAUUGAAUAAGUCUCCACAGGUAAAUCCCGGACAAUUGAUUUGUUCGGGUGUGGAUUAAAAUAAAUAUCAUUCCUUUUUGCACAAUGCUACUAGUUUUUGCAAAGGGAAUAUGGAUUAUGGUGUGCACCCGUGAGUACUCAUGCCUCCACUUUACCUAUUCCUCCCUGGCUGAAUCAUGCCUGGCCCAUGUGUCUCCUCUGCUCCUGUGUCUUCUCUGGCUGCACCUUCGCUGUGCACACGCUUGCGGCUCAGAAUCAAAGGCUUUUUAAUGAGUCUAGGAUGGAGAAAAAAAGGGAGGGAUUGCAAAAACUGCAGGCAGAAAAUCCGCAGCUUCUGCAAGCUUUUUUAGAUAUACCCAAAAUGCCAGCAUGCAUAUAUAAAUGCUUGCAUGUUGUCAUUGUGGGUAGAUCUACAAAAAAAUGACUCCCACGUGGAGUUAUCCUCUAAAGCUUUAAUGGUGACUAGAGUAUUUUUUUAAAUUUAAAGGUUAUGAUUAACUGAUCUCUAACCCUAGCUCACCUUUCCCCCUUAUAAAGGUCAUAAAAAUCUUUCCACCUUAUAUAAAUAUUAUAUAUAUAUAUAUAUAUAUAUAUAUACACAGUGUAGAUUGGAUUAGUCGUAUUAGUCCUGCAGAUAAGAUGCCAAAAUCCCAGAGUAUUGCAGUAUGCAGUGAUACCUUUUUUAUUAGACUAACGUAAUAUUUACACGUCAAGCUUUCGAGAGUUUUCCUCUCUUCCUCGGGUCUGAAGCAAUACUGAUCAAUCUGAGUUUAACACUUAAAUGAACUGAUGUUAGAGAAGGGUGGGAAAGAGUGAGUGGGGUGUCAUAAAUAGCAGAAGAUGUGUCUGAAAGUAAAAGGUGCAGAUUGGUUGAAUAGCCAGAAAAGGUAAAUAAACAGCAGAGAGUCAAUAAGCUAGUUAAAAAGAAAAAAAUGAAAAAGAAAAUUGGUAGUGUGUCAGAAAGCCAGAGUCUACAUUAAGUCCUUCAUUUAUGGUGUUGAAUGUGUGAUCAUUUUCAUCUCAAAUGCCUUGUUCAAGAGAGUCUUUAAAAUUCUCUUUAAGAACUUUAAUCUUGAGGUUUUGGAUCAAGUGAUCAUGCUGGGUGAAGUGAUGACCAGUGGCCAGAUUUUCCAAUGUAGCAACCUGUCACACACUGUACACUGUAUCAUGUACACUACAUUCUUGGAUGUGCACGAAUAUGAAUCCUUAAUGUUGUAUGAUUAGGUAUCAUUGCAUACUGCAAUACUGUGGUAUUUUGGCAUUAUAUAUAUAUAUAUAUAUAUACACAUACACAGCUUUAAUCAAAAUUAUUCAACCCCCAUUAAAAAUCAGGUGUACUGUCAAAAUUUACAGACUUUUAGCUGUUUGAUGAACAAAUCAAACAUAAGCAAUUGAAAUAGCUGAACACAACAAAUUCUUUGUGGUUACCCCAAAUUCAUUUGAAAAUGCAACUUAUAAUUACUUCUCAAGUCACAAACUUAUUCAACCCCCUGAAUAAAAUCCCUUAUCACAGCACAAAUAUGCAAAACAAGUGUUGUGUCAAGCACAUCUGGUGCAUCUUAUCAAGGGUUAGUUGCACCAGGUGUGCUUGAGCUGGAACACUUCAAAUACCUAAACUGGCUAGGGUUUUUUUUGAGUGUCACGUCUGACUGCAUGUUAGAAAAAUGGCUAAGUGAAAAGAAUGGUCCACAAAGUUAAGAGAAGAGAUCAUCGUCCUUCACAAACAAGGAACAGAAUACAAAACAAUAUCAAAGACACUGAAUGUUCCUAGAGGCAGCGUUGGAAGCAUAGUUCCCAAGUUCUAAGUUGUAGCAACAGUGGUUACACAACCUUGACGGCACAGAAAAGGGAAGCUAUCAAUGGCUGCAACCAGAUUUCGAGUGACUACAAAAGACCUGCAGCAAGACUUGUUGACAACAGGCAAGGCGGUUUCAGGGAGGACAGUAAGGCGCUUACUAAAUGCAGAAUGUUUCCAUGCUAGAACUCCGAAACAUACACCACUACUGACCCAAAAUCACAAGAAAAGUUGGCAUAAAUAUGCUCAAAGUCAUAUAAAUAAGCCACAGAAGUUUUUGGAUUCGGUUCUGUGGAGCGAUGAAACGAAACUCUAAUUUUCUGGCCCAAUGGAUCAGCGGUCAUGUCUGGAGGAAGAAGAAUGAAGCAUACACUGAAAAGAACACUCUGCCUACAGUUAAGCAUGGUGGUGGCUCAGUGACGCUCUUGUACUGCUUUGCAUCCUCUGGCACUGGAAACCUGCAGCGUGUGGAAGACAAAAUUGAUUAACUGCAUUCUCAGGAAAUCCUAGGAGAAAACAUUGUGCUGUCUGUGAAGAAGCUGAAGCUUGGGCAUCAUUGGACCUUCCAACAAGACAUGAUCCCGAGCAUAACUCAAAUUUCAACAAUGUUUUGUUGCAGGAGACUUCCUGGAAAAUUGGACAGUGGCCAUCACGGUUACCUGACUGGAAUCCCAUAGAAAAUCUCUGGUGGGAUCUGAAGACGGCAGAUGCAGCACGCAAACCCAAGAAUAUUACUGAAUAUUACUGAAAUGGAAGCCAUUGCUAAUGAGCAAUGGGCUAAGAUGCCUGAGAAGCUUCCAGAAGCUGGUGUCUGGCUAUGUAUCUCGUUUGUAGCAGCUCAUAACAGCAAAAGGGGUGCUCUGCUAAGUUCUAAAGAUGCUUGUCAUGAAGGAGUUGAAUAAUUUUGAUACCUGAGAAGUCAUUACCCCAUCACCAACACGGUAUUAUAGAAUUGUAGUCCCCCGGAGCUAUUUUACAUUGUUUAUGUUCUUGGUAGGAUCGUUUAUUGGACUGCAUACUUCAAGGGACUUCAAGUUUCCAGUUUUCACGGUGUCGGGACACGAGCAGCUGGAGUUAGUAAAUUAAUUAAUUGUUUAGGAUAUAUAUUGGAUGUAUAUUGUCCUGAGACAGGACUGGGAUCACGUCCGAAACAUUGAAGUUUUUUUAUUUUUUCCAUUAACCAAGACCUUUGAGUGCCCACUUUUUUGGCUAUAUUACAAGACAUAUAUAUAUUUGGUGGAAUAAACGUGCAAUAUUUAAACCAUUCUGGAAGUCGAUUUUUAUUUAUAUAAAUUACCACUGAAAGAUACAAAUUGCCAACCACAUACAGCACUAUUUAGAAUAUAUCUACCGGGGAAAUUAUGUCUUAAAGUAAAUGAAAGCUAACUGUAACAAUGUCACUCUAAUAAUGUUAAACAUGCCACCAGUGCGUCAUUUGUACCACGGAGCACGGUAACGGUGUCACUCUAAUAAUGUUAAACAUACCACCAGUGCGUCAUUCUUACCACGGAGCACGGUAACGGUGUCACUCUAAUAUUGUUAAACAUGCCACCAGUGCGUCAUUCGUACCACAGAGCACUGUAACGAUGUCACUCUAAUAAUGUUAAACAUGCCACCAGUGCGUCAUUCUUACCACGGAGCAUGGUAACGGUGUCACUCUAAUAUGUUAAACAUGCCACCAGUGCAUUCGUACCACAGAGCACUGUAACGAUGUCACUCUAAUAAUGUUAAACAUGCCACCAGUGCGUCAUUCGUACCACAGAGCACUGUAACGGUGUCACUCUAAUAAUGUUAAACAUGCCACCAGUGCGUCAUUCGUGGAGCACUGUAACGAUGUCACUCUAAUAAUGUUAAACAUGCCACCAGGUACCACGGAGCACGGUAACGGUGUCACUCUAAUAAUGUUAAACAUGCCACCAGUCAUUCGUACCACGGAGCACGGUAACGGUGUCACUCAAAUAAUGUUAAACAUGCCACCAGUGCGUCAUUCGUACCACAGAGCACUGUAACGGUGUCACUCUAAUAAUGUUAAACAUGCCACCAGUGUACCACGGAGCACGGUAACGGUGUCACUCUAAUAAUGUUAAACAUGCCACCAGUCAUUCGUACCACGGAGCACGGUAACGGUGUCACUCUAAUAAUGUUAAACAUGCCACCAGUCAUUCGUACCACGGAGCACGGUAACGGUGUCACUCUAAUAAUGUUAAACAUGCCACCAGUCAUUCGUACCACGGAGCACGGUAACGGUGUCACUCUAAUAAUGUUAAACAUGCCACCAGUCAUUCGUACCACGGAGCACGGUAACGGUGUCACUCUAAUAAUGUUAAACAUGCCACCAGUGCGUCAUUCGUACCACGGAGCACGGUAACGAUGUCACUCUAAUAAUGUUAAACAUGCCACCAGUGUGUCAUUCUCACUCCUUGGUUCCAUUGCACAAAAACCUCAUAAAACAUCCCACAGUGUCAUUUAUUGUGAAUUAUUUAAGAGUGACCCAGCUAGGUUAUAUAUUUCUGUUUUAUGAAUUAAUCAUUACUAAACUGGGAAUUGGCAUGAGAACUGCCUAAAUUAAGCCAAAACCGGAUGAGCUGGAAAAUUUGACCAAUUCACAAUCUGGUCUAAAAUGCUUUCCCCUUUUCAAACUGUCACAAUUACCAGAUUGGUUACACAGUUUUCACAUCUAGCCGUUUGACCUGUUAGAUUCCAUCCACUAGGUGGUGAUGUUUUUGUUUUUGUUGAUUGAUUUUUUUUUUUAGGGACACUAUAGUCACCAGAACCACUACAGCUUAUUGUAGUUGUUCUGGUGAGUAUAGCCUGUCUCUUUAGGCUUUUUUAUGUAAACACUGCCUUUUCAGAGAAAAGGCACUGCUUACAUUAGAGCCUAGGAACACCUCUACUGGCCAACCCUCAGAUGGCAACUGGAGGUGCUUCCUGGGGCAUUGCUGCCCAACACCAUUCAGCAUCUCGACACUCUGCAUGGAGACGCUAAACUUUCACUAUAGAGGAGAUGCCGACUGGUGCAGCGUUUUGCCAUGCAUACGCAGUAACCUCCCAGUGCUUUCUUGGGAAAACUAAAAUAAUCAAAUCUGAUUAUGUCAGCCAAGGAAGUCGGACAGGGAGGCAGGGCCAGACACGAGGAGCCUCGUACGGCGCUGGGAAAAGGUGAGUAAACCACCUUUCUAAACCAAUGUAAGGGGAACCAACCACCUACACGGUGGUUUUAGAAGGAUAGUGUCAGGAAUAGGCAUUCUGUUCCUGACACUAUAGUGCAAUUUUAAUAAGCGAAAAGGAGACUUUAUUACUUAUGUGUAUGACAGUGACCCUGGAAUAUCAAUAUCCUUCCAUAUGUUAUUAAAAUGUUUGUACUUAAUCUUUGUAAGGUACUAUAUACUUAUGCUAUGUCUCCUUUCAAAAAGUUAAACAUAUGCUGUAAAAAAGAUAAAGAUACAUAAGAAUGUAACUAUUUGGAGCAAAUGUCCACAGUCUUUGAAAAAUAAUAUAUAAAAUUUCUCCAGUUUUAGUAAUAAACUGGGAGAGCAGAACAUGAGUCUAAAUUUGGGUGUUUCACAUGGUUUUGGGAUAUUUGGGAGAUUGCAUAGUUUUACACAAGACAUUUCUAAAUAUGUUUUUUUAGGGGUUUUCUCUGUCGUAUCUGAAGUAGGGUAACAUAAUUUCAGUUUCAAUGGAACAUUUCAAGCACCAUAACCACUACAGCUCACCCCCACAGUGUAAGGAGUAAAACUGCUUUGGAACAAUCCGACCGGUGCUGUCCCUAGCCUUCUCUAUCAACGCUGGAAAGCUGUAAUUUCAUAAGUAUCUUAUGUUAUUCUCCCUAAAAUACAGAGCGAUUAGAUGACAUGUUCAGCAAAGAUUCUAAGCCAUGUAUUACAGGGCUAACAGAAGAAGUAAUGGAACUACUAGUACCAUAUUCACUACACCGGACAUAGACAGAUGCGGUUUUAAUAGUUUAUAGCAAGCAUGUCAAACUCGCGGCCCACAAUGGACAUCUUUGUGGCCCGGCGAGCCUCAAGUACAUGCCUAGUGUUCCAAGCAGAGUAGGCAUUACGGCACCCGGCAUCACUGCGUGCGAGGGAGCAGUGAGGAGCAGAUAGAAGAUCCGCUGGGAGAGGCCCCACAUCAGUUCCCAAAGGUAGGGAACAAUCAAGAAAAUGAUAAUGUGUGCAACUAAACAAUAUGAUAUAAUAGGCAUAACUGAAACAUGGUGGGAUGAGACACAUGACUGGGCAGUUAAGUUAAAUGGGUACAUGUUAUUUAGGAAGGAUAGGAAAAACAAGAAGGGUGGUGGGGUAUGUUUGAAUGUCAACCAUGAUUUAAAGCCAAAUAUUAAGCAAAUGGAAUGCGAUGAGGAAAAUGUGGAAGCUUGAUGGGUAAAUAUCUGCUUUGGGGAAAAGAAGGGAAACCAACUAUUGGUUGGGAUAUGUUAUAAACCACCUAAUGUUAAUACUGACGAGGAACAACAGCUGUUUGAGCAAAUUGAGAAAGCUGAAAAUCUGGGUAACACUUUAAUUAUUGGAGAUUUUAAUUACCCGGACAUAAAUUGGGACAGAGGGACUAGUAGCUCAGCAAAGGGAAUUAGGUUUUUAAACUUGUUAAAUGACACCUUCAUGUCACAACUUGUACAAGCACCAGCUAGAAUGGAUGCUUGUCUGGAACUGGUUUUAACAAACAACGUUGAUCUUUUGACCAACAUUCAAGUAGGUUAGCACUUGGGAAAUAGUGAUCACAAUAUAGUGUCCUUUGAAAUAAACUCAAAAAAACAAAAGCACAUGGGGAAUACUAAAACAUAUAAUUUUAAAAAGGCCAAUUUCAAUAAGUUAAGGGCAGCUUUACAAUAUAUUGACUGGCAUAAACUCUUUAGUGAAAAGAACACUGAGGAUAAAUGGAUCAUCUUCCAACAAAUAUUAGAAAGGUACAUUUUUCAGUAUGUACCAUUGGGAAAUAAAUAUAAAAGAAACAAAUUAAAACCAAUGUGGCUUAGUAGAGAAGUAAAACAAGAGAUUAAAAAUAAGAAAAGAGCAUUUAAAGCAUUUAAAUCGGACAAAUCAGAUGCAUCUUAUAAAAGAUAUAAGGAAGCAAAUAAUGCGUGCAAAAAGGCAAUUAGACUUGCUAAACUUCAAAAUGAAAAAAUGAUAGCUAAAGAGAGCAAAACCAACCCCAAAGCAUUUUUUAAGUACAUAAAUUCUAAAAAAACCAAAAAUGAAAGUGUAGGUACACUAAAAACUGAAACGGGGUGUUAGUUAAUGAAGACCAGGAAAAGGCAGGAAUUUUAAAUAACUAUUUCUCCUCCGUAUAUAUUAAGGAAGAACCCAUGGCAACAGAUGUGCAAAUGAUUGCUACUAAAAACUUGCAGAAUAAUUGUAAUUGGUUAACUCAAGACAAGGUGUUGCAGCAACUGAAGAAAGUUAAUAUAAACAAAGCUCCAGGGCCUGAUGGUAUCCAUCCACAUGUACUUAAGGAACUAAGUGUAGAAAUAAGUGAACCUCUGUUUUUAAUCUUUCAAAAUUCUUUUCUUUCAGGAAGUGUUCCGGAGGAUUGGAGGAAGGCAGAUGUGGUUCCUAUAUUCAAAAAGGGUUCAAAAACCUUGCCUGGAAAUUAUAGACCUGUGAGCUUAACUUCUGUGGCUGGUAAAAUAUUUGAAAGGUUAUUAAGGGAUAAUAUUCAAGAAUUCCUUGAGAAGAACAUGAUUAUCAGCAAAAAUCAGCACGGUUUUAUGAAGCACAGGUCAUGUCAAACUAACUUGAUUGCAUUCUACGAAGAAGUAAUUAGAAGUAUAGAUCAGGAUGUUGCAGUGGAUGUGAUCUAUUUGGAUUUUGCCAAGGCAUUUGAUACAGUUCCACACAAUAGAUAAUGUUCAAACUCAAGGAAAUCGGUUUAGAUGAAAAUGCUUGUUCUUGGGUAGAACAUUGGCUUAAAAAC